GACGAACGCUGGCGGCGUGCUUAACACAUGCAAGUCGAACGGAGUGGCGAACGGGUGAGUAACACGUGGGUGACCUGCCCUGCACUUCGGGAUAAGCCUGGGAAACUGGGUCUAAUACCGGAUAGUGUGGGAUGGGCCCGCGGCCUACCAGCUGGUUGGUGGGGUAAUGGCCUCCCAAGGCGGCGACGGGGAGCCGGCAUGGGAGGGUGGUCGGCCACAUUGGGACUGAGACACGGCCCAGACCCCUACGGGAGGCAGCAGUGGGGAAUAGUGCACAAUGGGCGGAAGCCUGAUGCAGCGACGCCGCGUGGGGGAUGACGGCCGUCGGGUUGUAAACUCCUUUCGCCAGCGACGCGGUAGAUGGAGAAUAAGCACCGGCUAACUACGUGCCAGCAGCCGCGGUAAUUC
rnacentral:rRNA from 1 species